rnacentral:rRNA from 23 species
AAACUUUCAACAAUGGAUCUCUUGGUUCCGGCAUCGAUGAAGAACGCAGCGAAAUGCGAUAACUAAUGUGAAUUGCAGAAUUCAGUGAAUCAUCGAGUCUUUGAACGCACAUUGCGCCCCCUGGUAUUCCGGGGGGCAUGCCUGUCCGAGCGUCAUUG